AAGCAUUUAAGCGUUAAGAGAUCACUUACUUCAGUUGCCAAGGGUCAGAUGUCUACUAGUUUGAACCCAUCCACAGGAUUUAAAAGCCAUUAAAGGUUUACAGACACAGCAAACUCAAUGUUUCACAGUGAGGCCACAAUUCAAGCUUUCCUCUCAAGUUGAUUAUACAUGAAGAAACAAACACUUCUUAAUAUGUCAUAGACAAUGACCACAAACUCAGAGGGAAAGGAGCCCCCCUCCGGACAUGGGUCUGAGCAGCAACUAACCCAUUGCAUACUUUUGGGUCCAGCUCCGAGCAGUUGCUUCGUACUUGCUUUUAUCAGUCUUGUACAUAUGAGCAAUCUCGGGCACCAAAGGAUCAUCGGGAUUAGGGUCUGUUAGCAGAGAGCAGAUUGACAGCAGCACCUUGGAAAUCGUAAGUGCCGGGCUCCAUUGUUCCUUCAGAAUGUCGAGGCAAAUGCUGCCA
rnacentral:misc_RNA from 1 species